GAUGAACGCUAGCUACAGGCUUAACACAUGCAAGUCGCGGGGCAGCAUGGGGGUUGCUUGCCAUCCCCGAUGGCGACCGGCGCACGGGUGAGUAACGCGUAUCCAACCUGCCCUUCACCACGGGAUAACCCGGCGAAAGUCGGACUAAUACCGUAUGUUGUCCAUUGACGGCCUCCGAUUUGGACGAAAGGUUUGGCGGUGAAGGAUGGGGAUGCGUCCGAUUAGCUGGACGGCGGGGUGACGGCCCACCGUGGCGACGAUCGGUAGGGGUUCUGAGAGGAAGGUCCCCCACACUGGAACUGAGACACGGUCCAGACUCCUACGGGAGGCAGCAGUGAGGAAUAUUGGUCAAUGGGCGUAAGCCUGAACCAGCCAUGUAGCGUGCAGGAUGACGGCCCUAUGGGUUGUAAACUGCUUUUAUGCGGGGAUAAAGUGGCCCACGUGUGGGUUUUUGCAGGUACCGCAUGAAUAAGGACCGGCUAAUUCCGUG
rnacentral:rRNA from 1 species